rnacentral:rRNA from 1 species
GACUGUGGUCUGCAACUCGACCACACGAAGCUGGAAUCGCUAGUAAUCGCGAAUCAGCAUGUCGCGGUGAAUACGUUCCCGGGUCUUGUACACACCGCCCGUCACACCAUGGGAGUCAGCAACGCCCGAAGUCAGUGACCUAACCGAGAGGAAGGAGCUGCCGAAGGCGGGGCAGGUAACUGGGGUGAAGUCGUAACAAGGUACC